AGGCUAUGUAUUCCCGCCCCAGGCAGGGGUAGCAGGAGAGAAGCCUGUGCCAUUGAAGGCUCUCGCCAGUCCCUUUCCAUUUCAGCACGUAACGAGCACGAGGAUCCGCAGCGAGCGGCCACCUCGCAGCCCGGCCGGAAGGGAAACCCCGGGACGCGCCAACAGCAGCCCGCACGUUUCGCACAUCGCCCCAGCGAGCGGACAAGGGCGGGAACCCGGCCGGGCCGUAGCUCCUGGAGUCUUUUGAUUACAUGAGAAUCCCAACUUUAAUUAACAAGCUUUUCUCUGCAACUCUGAGGGACAGAAACUUUUAAGAAACUGAAAUGAUAAAGACUCAGAAUAAGCAUGCAAGUUUAAAAAAAAAUGCCCUAAUUUAUUAUUUUUUAUAAUCUCAUGGUUUUUAUGCAAUUCUCAUGAUGUUUUGGGGCCUGACUCAUGACCUUUAAAAGUUUAAAACUGGGACCACUGCCUUCUGCACAGGGGUGAAUUUUACUCAAUGUGAUUUCUUUCUGAUUUUAUUUCCUCUGAAGAGAUCUCCUGGAGCUCAUUGCAGUCAGCAGAUUGCCACCUUAUGCUAUACUGCCUCCUCUCUCUUCCCCUGUUUAUUCCCCAUGUCAAGAGUGUAAUCAACGAUAUUUGCCUAAGAAGAUUUCAAGUGAAAAGUUUUAGCCGAUAUAUUAUUACAAAAGACAGCAAAAUCUAGAGCAACUUGACAAACCUAAAAAACCUGAAACUGGCUAAGAAAUUGUACACAAAACACAUGAGUGUUAAAAGUCAUUAUAAUAAAACCCCUGAGACAAGGAGAGAGAACUCACAGACUACAAAGGACAAAGGACAAAUUCCAGCCUACAUGCACAAGGUGUAGAAAAAGUCACAUCCCAAGAGAUGAUGCAUGUCCAACCAGAGGCACACACUGUAAUAAAUGCAUAAAAUAUGGACAUUUUGCUUCUGUUUGCCACAUCAAGUCAGUCAAGGAGUUGAUUCAUAUUGCAGACAAUCAGGAGCUGACGUUUCUGGGAUCUAUUACUGUUGACAUAGAGGCUUCCUGGAAAGUGAAACUGAAUAUUCAUGGCAAGAUUACUGACUUUAAAAAUUGACUCAGUAGCUGAUGUCACAGUCAUAUCCAGUCUCCUUCAACCCCUUCCAGAGCUGAAGUCACCUGCCACAGCUCUGACUAGUCCUAGAGGUAUUCUGCACUGCCCAGGCCAGUUCACCACAGAAACAACUUACAAAGACAAAGCUAUGGAUUCAGAGUCUAUGUGAUCAAAGGACCACAGACCAACAGCCUCUUGGCCCUAUGUGUGGCAGACACAAUGGGCCUAGUGAGAAAGGUGGAAGAAUUCAAUAGAAUAUUUGGUGAUAUUGGACUUUUGAAAGACAAUCCAGUACAAAUAACAUUAAGAGACAAUGCAGAACCAUGUAGUGUUCAUUCACCCCAUAGGAUUCCUAUCCCAUUACUUCAUACUGAGUUAAAGAGAAUGGAGCAGAUUCUCUUGAUUAUGCCAAUGUCUGAGCCAACAACAUGGGUGUGUCCCAAUGUUACCAGUUAUAAAGAAAAAUGGAAAAAAAUACAAAUCUGUGUGGAUCUUAAAAGAUUUAACGAAGCAGUUGUAAUAGAAAAAUAUUUCCUUCUACUAUUGGAUGACUUCCUCCCCAAAGUGAAAGGAGCUACAGUAUACUCUAAGCAAGAUGCCUCAAGCAGAUUCUGGAAAAUUCCUUUAGCCAAAAAAAGUGCUAAACUGACUACAUUUAUGACACCCUUUGAUAGAUUUUGCUUUUGAACAUUAUAUUUGAUCAGUGCACCUGAAAUUUUCUAAAGAAAGAUGACAGAAUUGUUAAGGAAUAGAAAUGGAGCUCUCAUUUUCAUGGAUGAUAUUCUGACAUAAAAAUUUUCAAUGGAAGAAUAACAAAACUCUCAACAGAGUCCUGAGCCUAAUCCGUCAGUUUUAGUCCAGACUAAACAAGGAAAAAUGCAUUUUCCGCCUACCCCAAAUGGAAUUUUUGGGACCGAUAAUAAACAAAGAUGGAAUCAGUGUUAAGCCUGAGACAGUAAAAGUGUAACCCUUCUGCCAGCUGGUGCCGGCAGCAACUAGUGCCGGGUUCAAUAUCUAGAGGUUCCUUUUCAAAAAUACAACACAGAGCCGUUUCAAGCCCCCACUCUGUAACCUGGGGAAAUUACACGCCACCCCUCAGUGCCCCUCUCGCAAGCACAGAAUCUGAGUGUAGAAAAGAAAAUUUUUAAUGAAAGAAGGGAAAUCACCCAGCAUUAAUUAGGAAAAAGGCCACAAGCAGGAUUAAUAAUCAUAAAACUGUGAGCAGGACACCUAUCCCAGAGUGCAUGGGACAGUGUUUUCUACCUCAUGUUCUUGAGUUCUACAACCAAAAGUUCCUUUACUGUGCCCCUCUCUCUUUCCUCACCAUACCCUACUCACAGUGGUUGUCCUUGGUCAGUGAGGACCCAGGGUUCAGAGGUGCAUCUGUGUGAGUUCACCUCCCACCCAGGGAAGAAGACACCUAUCUUGCUCCACCUGAAUACUUGCACCUUGCUGACUGUUCCUCCUCCGCCACUCCCCUUGGCUGCCCCCCGCCAGCUGCCCACUGCUGCUCGCCGCCCGCAGUAGACACUCACGGAGCCCAGCAUUGCUCUCAACAACCCGUGAGUUUGAAGAUGAUGCAGAUGCAUAUGUCUUUGGCGGCUGCUGUGGAUACUUACAGACCAGUGUCAGAAAAGAGUCUACACCAGCUACAAAAAAGCAGCCUUGACAGACAUUCAGCUUCUAAGAAAUUUCUAAGAUACAUUGGGACGGCUGGACCAAGUACCUAAAGAACACUAAGGAAGCAACAAGAGACCGUUUUGUGGCACGUGGACAAUUAAGCCAAUCAAAUGGACUCACGAUUAAAGACAAUUGAAUUGUAAUUCCAGACAAAAUGAGAAGAGAAAUCCUAAAUCUCCUCCAUGAAGGACAUUGGGGAUUAAAAGAACAGGAGUGCUUGUGGCACCUUAGAGACUAACAAAUUUAUUUGAGCAUAAGCUUUCGUGAGCUACAGCUCACUUCAUUGGAUGCAUGCAGUGGAAAAUACAGUGGGGGGAUUUUAUAUAUACAGAGAACAUGAAACAAUGGGUGUUACCAUACACACUGUAACAAGAGUGAUCAGGUAAGGUGAGCUAUUACCAGCAGGAGAGAAAAAAAUAAACACUGUAGAUGGGUCAACCAGUCAGUGUGGUGGCUGGGCAUCAGCAAGGACAUAAAGAAUAAGCAUCUGCAUGUGAACAUUGAAGAACUAACAGACCAACACAACACAACACAAAGAACCUUUAAUAACAAUACUUCUACCAGAUAGACCUUGGAACAGACUAACUGCAGAUUUCUGCAAAUUCAGAAGACAUCAUUAUCUGGUUGUUGUGGACUAAUUUUCCAGGUAUGUAGAAAUAAUGCACUUUAAAGACAUAACAUGUCACAGGGUUAUCAAGAAACUCAAGUUCACUUUUGCUCAUUUUGGUAUUCCAGAACAACUAAUGAUGGAUAAUAGACUUGUAGCACCUUAGAGACUAACAAAUUUAUUUGUUAAUUUAUUCACUGCAGUAAAAUUUAAGUCCUUCUGAACAAAAUAUGAUUUCGGUCAUAUUACCAGCAGCCCACAUUGCCUACAAGCAAAUGGAGAGACAGACAGUUGUACAGAUAGCCAAGAAAAUCCUACAGCAGGAAGAUCCAUUCCUUCCUCUUCUGAGUUAUAGAUCAACAACAGCUAACAUGGAAUAUAUUAUGUUUAAAAUGUUUUCAGGAUAUUUUGCUGUUUUAUAUAUAUGAUUAAACAGCACAGUGAAAAGGACAGUCACUUGUAAUGAUUGCCUGGUGCUUCUAGGUCAUUUAGACUUCUAUUUGGGUAAGCAGAGUCAGAAUGAGCUCUACCCUGACAUCUGGUGGUGAGCUGUGGAAAAAGACUUUAGGGGCUGAUCUCGUUUGCAUGGGCACACCCACCCUGCCUAGCAUGAUGGACUGCUUGCCCAAAUGGUCACUUUGGCUGCUCUGGGAUCCCAGUCUCUUUGUUAUUGGGACAGGAGUAGUAAAGGGUUGUUAUCCUGGUUAUGUGAAUCAAGGACAGUAGAAUUGUACUUGGCAUUUUAUGACGGAGGGACUCGCCCUCAACUAAGUAGCACUUGCUAGGCAAGGGACAUGGGUUCCAAAACCCAGUGAAUUGUGGGGGGCCGGGGCCAAAAUACUAUGUUGACUCCCCUCUGUGUAAUAAUAGAGCUAAUUUUAGCUCUAUUAGGAGUCUUGUUAUGUGCUGCAGAGCUGAAACCACUAAAGAGCUGAAAUUACUAAGAGCUGAGAUCCCUGAGAGCUGUGUUAAGUGUGUGUGUGGGGGGCCUGAAGACAAGUUGGUGAGCAGACAGCAGGACAGCUAGCAGGGAGAGCAGAGUGCAGUGGAUAGCUGGUAGAGAGGAGCAGACAGCAGGAUGGCUAGCGGAGAGCAGAGAGGAGUGGAGUGGAUAGCUGGGUGGCUGGUGGAUAGAAGUGGCCAGCAGGAUAGCUGGCGGAGAGAUGCAGCUGACGGUGAAGACUGCAGCAGAACCCCAUGGAGAAGCGUGACACUCGGCCAUUGACUCGAGCAGCGGAUCAUGUAAGAUGCCCCCCAUACCUCCCUCCACUUCCACCCAGGCUGGGAGGUAAACUCUGCAGAUGAACUUCUGAACUCUGGGGGACUGCACUUAUCAAGGGCAGAAACUCUGUGUGUGUGUGUGGGGGGGGGUGACUAUUGAGUUGCUGGACUUAAGACCCUGUGGGGAAAAGGACACUGCCAAACUUACUUGGUGGUGGGUCUUUUGCUCACGGUUGGUAUUAUGAAUCCUGUUUGUGGUGUUUCCCCAACAUAAUGCUGCAUUGCUUCCCUCCUUUAUUAAAAGGCUUUUGCUACACUCAGACUCUGUACUUGCAAGAGGGGAAGUAUUGCCUCUUAGAGGCACCCAGAAGGGUGGUAUGUAAUUGUCCCAGGUCACUAGGUGGGGGCUCGAUCCGAUUUUGUAUUGUGUUAUUGAAACGAAACCCCUAGAUACUGAACCCGGCCCUUGUUGCUGCCAACUCUGAUGGGCAGAAGGGUUACAUAUAUGAUUAAACAGCACAGUGAAAAGGACAGUCACUUGUAAUGAUUGCCUGGUGCUUCUAGGUCAUUUAGUCUUCUAUUUGGUCAUAGUACAACUCCUGAUGGGAAGACAACUCAGAACUACUGUUCCAACAUUGGAAUAGAAUCUGUCUCCAAAGUGACCAAACAUGAAGAGUGUAGCCAAACUGGAUAAAAAGUUUAAAAGAGCUUAUGAACACUUUUACAACAAAUAUCACUCCAUUAGAGAAUUACCAGAUCUAGAACCUAGUGACCAUCUUCAUGUGAAAUUGAAUGAAGAAAACGGAGGGACAACACCAGAUGUCAUGAAGAAAAAGAAUUCAGCACCCAGAUCCUAUGUGAUCAAGACCAACAAUGGAGAGUUCAACAGAAACCAUCAACAUCUACAGUUUGUUCCUCAAAAAACAAAAACAAAAACCCAACCCCCCAAAAAACAAACAGCAAACUCUAUGGAUGACAUAUGCAGAACAAGAAGAUGAUGACUCAAGGAUUUUAAAGCAACCACAACCAGUCAUUGCAGAUGACCAAGUUGUUAUACGGUCAAAUUGUGUAAUUAAAAAAACAGUACUAUUCAGAGUCACUUAACAGACUCAUACGGACUGAACUUCAAAAUGUAUUGUGAUAGUUUUAAAUGUUGUAUAUUAGGGGUGACCAACCUGAGCCUGAGAAGGAGCCAGAAUUUACCAAUGAACAUUGCCAAAGAAUCACAGUAAUACAUCAACAGCCCCCCAUCAGCUCCCCCACCCUGCUCCCAGCGACUCCCACCCACCAACAGCCCCGCCCAUUAACAUCUCCCACACCCUCCUUGCACCUCCCAAUCAGAUGUUUCGUGGCAUGCAGGAGGCUCUGGGGGGGAGGGGGAAGAGCGAGGACACAGCAGGUUUAGGGGAGGGCGCGGGAAGGGGUGGAGUGGGGGCAGGGCCUGUGGCAGAGCCAGGGGUUGAGCAGUGCUCAUCCCCUGGCACAUUGGAAAGUUGGCACCUGUAGCUUCAGUCCCGGAGUCGGUGCCUAUACAAAGAACCGCAUAUUAACUUAUGAAGAGCUGCAUGCACAGAUUGGCCACCCCUGUUGUAUAUGGUAGGAAUGUAAAACAUAAAGGAAGAGAUGUAAUGGAAUCCUAAAUUGUAUUAUGCUGUUUAGCCAGUAGGUGGCACUGUGUAUAAAAUGCCUUAUUUAAACCUAACAGCCAUACCGAGAAGAGCAUUAAAGGAUCUUCUGAUGAACUCAUCUGGUAUGUAUAAGCAAGUUUGGUAGCCAGUUCAUAUCUGGUACAGAAGUACAUGACACCCUAUAUGUUUGUAUCUGUUAAAUCUCUCUGAAAAUAAUGGGGGAAUUUCUCUAAAUCUCAUUCUCUGUGUCAGCUAUCUGUCUAAAUACACAGACACCCCCACCCCCACAUGUAGGGCCAGAAUGUAAUACACUUUGUUUCAGUGAAACCAAAUAGCUGUCUUUUAUGAUGCUUAUAUAGUCUUUGUACUGUUCCUGUAAAAGAAAGGAUACUGUUCAGACAGGAAAUGCAACUAGACAAUGAGGUAGUAUAUUUGCUAGAAAUGAAAAAUGGAGGGGACACACAGCAUAAAACACUGAGGGCAAGACUGUGAUAUCCUUACUCACAUGAAGCAUUCCCUUGAUAAGUAGCCUCACUGAUUUUUGGGGUAAGUUAUUGCUCAAUGUGAGUAAGGGUACUACAGUCUGACUUUUAUUUAGUAAACAUUUAACUAUAUAAAGGCAUUAUAAAUCACUAUUCAUCUCCUUUAACUUGAAAAAAACCUCUCAUCCUAAUGGUGGACAGUAAGGUCAAGUCACCAAGAGAGUGUUUGAUAAUCCCCACUGGCAGAGUAAUCUGAGUUUUAGUUUCAUUGGAAAUGAACCACAGCUCGCGCGCGCGAGAGAGAGAAUUCAGCAGGGUAUGAGAUCAGCUAACUCUAAUGGUAUAUCUAUGCUGCAGCCAGAGCUGUGAAUAGCCGCUUCUGUAGACAUAACCCCAAUAGCUGUACUUUAGCUAGCUCGCUAAAAAUAGAAGUGAGGGUACAAUGAUGUGGGCUUUAGCACUGGCUGUACAAGCAAGUAUGUACUCAAAAGGAUCAGACAGACAGCACUGCGGCAUCCUCACUUCUAUUUCUCAUGAGCUAGCUAGAGCAUAACAAGCCUGGGUAUGUAUACACAAGCCAUUCAUACUCCUGUUUGCAAUGUGGACUUACCCUAAAUUAAUAAUAGUGUAUAUUGUGGUGACCUGUAUUAAGAUUUCACUUGCAGAUGGUUAGGCC